CUUUUAUUAUACAGGCUGCCAACUACCAGCCUUCACAUUAGAAAACUUGAUUUGGUUGUACCCAUCUCAAGGUCCUGUUUAAAUUACUUGUUUAAACUGGAAAUUUACUGCAUUGAAUUGGGUGGGAUUAAUGAGAGGAGGGAUCCAAAUUUGUUUAUUAAUCCUUCAGAAAUUAUUGAAGCAUUAUGAGCAUUUUCUAUGAGUUUUGGAUUUUUUUUUUCCUCAUUCACCCAUCAGAACAGGACCUUAGUAGUUGUGUAACUAAGGUUUAUACCCUGACUACAAGACUACUUAGGUGGGGGGAGUGGAGGUUUGUUAAAAACAGCAGUUUUCUCUUAAUUUUGACAUUAAUAAAUCUGAUUAUGUGUAAGCUUAGUAUCAAAUAUAAAUUAGACCUAAAUAACUCAGGACAUUUCCCCAAAAGUUAUCUCCAUCCUCAGUUUUUACUUUUGCAAAGCUCCUAUUUGUCCUCUGUAACAAGAGCCUGAAUGACAAUUUGACUGAAUGGUGAGAUGUCAUAACUUAGCUAAUACUAUUACUGACAGUAUUAUCUUGGAUUCAGAUGUGAAGUGUUCGUUUUUAAAUGGAAAAUGGGAAUUGAUUGUUGAUGGACUUUGUUUUUAUUUAAAUUCUAAUUGGUUAACAUGUAGAGUAAUACGUUUUUCAGGAGUAGAAUUUAGUGAUCAAUCACAUAUAACACAAGAGCCCUCCUUAAUACCCAUCACCCAUCUGGCCCAUUCUGCCUAACUUCCUCCAUCAACCCUCAGUUUGCAUAUGAGUGGGGAGAGGGACAGAGAGAGGGAGAUACAGAAUCCCAAGCAGGCUCCAGGCUCCAAGCUGUCAGCACAGAGCCCGACCUGGGGCUUGAACUCAGGAACUGUGAGAUCAUGACCUGACCUAAAGUAGGACACUUAACUGACUGAGCCACCCAGGCACUCCUGUUUUCUAUAGUUAAGAGCCUCUUACGGUUUGUUUCUCUCUCUCGUAUUUGUUUUUCUUCCCCUUCCCAUAUGUUCAUCUGUUUUGUUAAAUUCCACACACGAGUGAAAUCAUAUGGUAUUUGCCUUUCUCUGACUUCUUUCACUUAGCAUAAUAAACUCUAGCUCCAUCCACGUCAUUGCAAAUGGCAAGAUUUCAUUCCUUUUGAUGGCUGAGUAAUAUUCCAUUGUACAUAUAUAGCACAUCUUUAUCCAUCAGUUGAUGGACAUUUGGGCUCUUUGCAUACUUUGGCUAUUGUUGAUAAUGCUUCUAUAUAAUCAGGGUACAUGUACCCUUUCGAAUCAGUAUUUUUUAAUCCUUUGGGUACAUACCUAGUAGUGCAAUUGCUGGGUUGUAGGAUAGUUCCAUUUUUAACUUUCUGAGGAACCUCCAUACUGUUUUCCAGAGUGGCUGCACCAGUUUGCAUUCCCACCAACAGUAAAAGAGAGUUCCCCUUUCUCUGCAACCUUGUCAACAUUUGUUUCUUGUGUUUUAGCCAUUCUGACAAGUGUGAGGUGGUAUCUCAUCGUGGUUUUGAUUUGUAUUUCCCUGAUGAUGAGUGAUGUUGAACAGUUUCAUGUGUCUGUUAGCCUUCUGGAUGUCUUUUUUGGAAAACUGUGUAUUCAUGUCUUCCACCCAUUUCUUAACUGGAUUAUUUGUUUUUUGGGUGUUGAGUUUUAUAAGUUCUUUAUAGAUUUUGGAUACUAACCCUUUAUCAAGUAAGCCAUUUGGAAAUUCUUCUCCCAUUCCAUAGGCUACGUUUUAGUUUUGUUGAUUGUUACCUAUGCUAUGCAGAAGAUUUUAUCUUGACGAAGUCUCAAUAGUUCAUUUUUGCAUGUUUCCCUUGCCUCCAGCGACUUGUGUAGUAAGACGUUGCUAUGGCUGAGGUCAAACAAUUUGCUGCCUGUGUUCUCUAGGAUUUUGAUGGUUUCCUGUCUCACAUUUAGGUAUUUCAUCCAUUUGGAACUUAUUUUUGGGUAUGGUGUCACAAAGUGGUCCAAUUUCAUUCAUCUGCAUGUUGCUGUCCAGUCUUCCCAAUACCAUUUGUUGAAGAGACUCUUUUUUUUUUUUCCAUUGGAUAUUCUUUCCUACUUUGUCAAAGAUUAGUUGAACAUAUAGUUGUGGGUUCAUUUCUGAGUUUUCUAUUUUGUUCCAUUGAUUUAUGUGUCUUUUUAUGCCAAUACCAUACUGUCUUAAUGACUACAACUUUGUAAUGUAUCUUGAAAUCCGGAAUUGUGAUGCCUCCAGUUUCGCUUUUCUUUUUCAGGAUUACUGUGGCUACUUGGGGUCUUUUGUGUUUUCCAUACAAAUUUUAGGGUUAUUUGUUCUAGCUCUGAGAAAAAUGCUAGUUGUAUUUUGAUAGGGAUUGCAUUAAAUGUAUAGAUUGCAUUGGGUAGUAUAGACAUUUUAACAAUAUUUUUUCUUACAGUCCAUGAGCAUGGAAUGUUUUCCUGUUUCUGUGUCCUCUUCAAUUUCUUUCAUAAGUGUUCUAUAGUUUUCAGAGUGUAGAUCUUUUACUUCUUUGGUUAGGUUUAUUCUGAGGUAUCUAUGGUAUUUGGAGCAAUUUUAAAUGGGAUCGAUACCUUGAUUUCUUUUUCUGCUGCUUCAUUAUUGGUGUAUAGAAAUGUAAUAGAUUUUUGUACGCUAUUUUUAUUUCUGCAUCUUUACUGAAUUCUUGUAUCUGUUCUAGCAAUUUUUGGGUGGAGUCUUUUGGGUUUUCUACAGAGUAUCAUAAUGCCUGCAAAGAGUGAAAGUUUGACUUCUUCCUUGCCAUGUUGGAGGCCUUUUGGUUUUGUUGUUGUUGUUGUCUGAUUGCUGAGGCUAAGACUUCCAACACUAUAUUAAAUGGUAAUGGUAAGAGUGGACAUCCUGUCUGUUCCUGAAGUUAGGAGAAAAGCUCUCCAUUUUUUCCUGUUGUGGAUAAUAUUACCUGUGGUCCUUUCAUAUAUGGCCUUUAUGGUGUUGAGGUAUGUUCCAUCUAUCCCUACUUUGUUGAGGGUUUUUAUCAAGAAUACGUGCUGUAUUUUGGUCAAAUGCUUUUUCUCCAUCUAUUGAGAGAAUCAUAUUGUUUUUAUCCUUUUUUUAUUUUUUAAUGUGGUGUAUCACAAUGAUUGAUUUGCAAAUAUUGAACAACCUCUGCAGCCCAGGAAUAAAUACCACUUGAUUGUGGUGAAUAUUUCUUUUAAUGUAUUGUUGAAUUCGAUUUGCUAGUAUCUUGUUGAGAAAUUUUGCAUCCAUGUUCAUCAGAGAUAUUGGCCUUUUUAGUGAGUUCUUUGUUUUUGGAAUCAAGGUAAUGCUGGCCCCAUAAAACGAAAUAGGAAGUUUUCCUUCCAUUUCUAUUUUCUGGAACAGUUUGAGAAGAAUAGGUAUUAAUUCAUCUUUAAAUAUCUGGUAGAAUUCCUCUGGGAAGCCAUCAGCUUGGACUUUUGUUUGUUGGGAGGUUUUUGCUUACUGAUUCAAUUGCUUUGCUGGUUAUAGUUCUGUUCAAAUUUUCUAUUUCUUCCUAUUUCAGUUAUGGUAGUUUGUAUAUUUGUAGGAAUUUGUCCAUUUCUUCUAGAUUGCCCAGUUUGUUGGCAUAUAAUUUUUUAUCAUAUUCUCUUAUAAUUGCUUGGAUUUCUGUGAUGUUGGUUGUGAUCUCCUCUUUCAUUUGGGAUAUUUAUUUAUUUGCGUCUCUUUUUGAUAGUCUGGCUAGCAGUUUCUCAAUUUUAUUAAUUUUUUCAAAGAACCAGCUCUUAGUUUUUUUAUCUGUCCUACUGUUUUUGUUUGUUUAUUUGUUAAUUUCUGUAUCAUCGAUUUCUGUUCUAAUGUUUAUUAUUUUCUGUAUUCUGCUGGUUUAAGGCUUUAUUUGCUGUUCUUUUUUCAGCUCUUUAAGGUGUAAGGUUAGGUUGUAUAUCUGAGACCUUUCUUCCUUCUUUAGGAAGGCCUGGAUUGCUAUAUAUUUUCCUCUUAUGAUCCCCUUUGCUGCAUCCCAGAGGUUUUGGGUUGUGUUCUCAUUUUCAUUGGCUUCCAUGUACUUUUUAAUUUCCUCUUUAAUUUCUUGGUUAAACCAUUCUUUCUUUAAUAGGAUGUUCUUUAAUCUCCAAGUAUUCGUGGUCUUUCCACCAAUUUUUCCAAAUUUUUUCUUGUGGUUGAUUUCAGGUUUCAUAGUGUUGUGGUCUGACAACAUGCAUGGUAUGAUCUCAAUCUUUUUGUACAUGUUGAAGGCUGAUUUGUGUCCCAGUAUGUGAGCUAUUCUGGAGAAUGUUCCAUGUGCACUUGAGAAGAAUGUGUAUUCUGCUGCUUUUGGAUGAAAUGUUCUGAAUAUAUCUGUUAAGUCCAUCUAGUCCAGUAUGUCAUUCAAAAUCAUUGUUUCCUUGCUGAUUUUCUGCUUAUAUGAUCUGUCCAUUGUUGUAAGUGAGGUAUUGAAGUCCCCUACUAUUAUGGUAUUAUUAUCAGUGAGUUUCUUUAUGUUUGUGAUUAAUGGAUUUAUAUAUUUGGGUGUUCUCAUGUUUGGGGCACAGAUGUUUACAAUUUUAGAUCUUGGUGGAUAGACCCCUUAAUUAUGACAUAAUGGCCUUCUUCAUCUCUUUUUACAGUCUUUUGUUUAAAAUCUAGUUUUUCUGUGAGUGCCUGGGUGGCUCAGUCAGUUAAGCAUCCGACUUUGGCUCAGGUCAUGAUCUCACGGUUUGUGGGUUCAAGCCCCACCUUGGGCUCUGUGCUGACAGCUCAGAGCUUGGAGCCUGCUUUGGAUUCUAUGUCUCCCUCUCUCUCUCUAUCCUACCUCGCUCAUGUUCUGUCUCUCUCAAAAAUAAAUAAACAUUAAAAAAAUUUUGAAAUCUAGUUUGUCUGAUAUAAGUACUGCUCUUCUAGCUUUCUUUUGACGUCCAUUACCAUGGUAGAUGGUUCUCUAUCCCUUUACUUUCAAUCUGCAGGUGACUUUAGGUCUAAAAUGAGUCUCUUGUAAGGAGCAUAUAGAUUUGGUCUUUUUUUUUUUUUUUUAAUCCAUUCUGAUACCCUGUGUCUUUUGAUUGGAGCAUUUAGUUCAUUUACAUUCAGAAUGAUUACUGAUAAAUAUGAACUUAGUGCCUUGUGUUACUUGCAAAGUGAUGUAUCUGAUGAUGUUCUCUGUUCCUUUCUAGUCUUUUUUUGUUUUUGGUCCUUUUUUUUCACCACUAAAUAGUUCCAUUUAAUAUUUCUUGCAGGGCUGGUUUAGUUGUCACGAACUCCUUUAGGUUUUGUCUGGGAAAACUUUGUCUCUCCUAUUCUUAAUGACAGGCUUGCUGGACAAAGUAUUCUGGGCUGCAUAUUAUUCCCAUUCAGCACAUAGAAUAUAUUGUGCCACUCCCUCUGUCCCACCACGUUUCUGUGGACUGAUCUGUUGCAAAUGUGAUCUGUCUUCUCUUGUCAGUUAAGUAUUUUUUUUCCCUUGUUGCUUUCAGGAUUGUUUCUUUGUCUGUGUAUUUUGUGAAUUUGACUGUGUCUUGGUGAUGAAUUUAAUGGGAGUUCUCUGUGCUUCUUGGAUUUUGAUAUCUGUUUCCUUCCCAGAUUAGGGAAGGUUUCAGCUAUAAUUUGCUCAAAAAACGUUCUGCCCCCCUUUUCUCUCUCUUCAUCUUCUGGGACUUCUAUGAUACAAAUGUUAUUACACUUUAAAGAGUCACUGAAUUCCUUAAGCCUAAUUUAUGAUCCAAACCUUUUCCCCCCUCUUCUUUUCAGCUUCAUUAUUUUGUGUAAUUUUAUCGUCUAUAUCACUGAUUCAUUCCUCUGCUUCAUCCAUCUUCAUUGUCAUGUCAUCCAUUUGGGUUUGCAUCUCAGUUACAGCAUUUUUAAUUUUGGCCUCCCUAGUUUUUUUGUUUUUGUUUUGUAACAUUCAUUUAUUUAUUUUCAGAGAGUGGGAGGAGGGACAGAGACAAAAGAAAAGAAAGAGAAUUCCAAGCAGGUUCUGAACUGUCAGCACAGAUGUGCUGGCUCAAAUUCAUGAACCAUGAGUUCAUGACCUGAGCCAAAAUCAAGAGUUGGAUGCUUAAGCAACUGAGUCACCCAGGCACCCAUUGCCUGACUACUUUUUAGUUCUUCUGUCUCUGCAGUAAGGGAUUCUCUAGUGUCUUCUAUGCUUUUUUCAAGACCAGCUACUAUCCUUAUAAUUGUUUUAAAUUCUAGUUCAGACAUAUGUCUGUAUUGAUUAAAUCUCUGGCUGUCACUUCUUCCUGUACUUUCUUUUGGGGUGAAUUCCUCCAUCUUGUCAUAUUGUCAUGGCAAACAAACAAAGAGCUUGAUCCUAUGUGUGUUUUGGUCUGCUUCUUAAAAGAAGCUAGAUCCAUUUAAUUAAUUAAUUAAUUAAUUAAUUGAAAAAAAAUUGGCUCUUUUGUAUCCUAAGAGAAAAACAAACAAACCCCCAAACCAAAGAGGCUAGAUCCUAUUUCCCCAGACCUGAAACUUUGUAGCACUGUACGAUCAGUAGAUUUGGUGUGUGUGAGGGGUUUGUGCUAGUCUUCUGGAGGCGGGCCUGCUUCACUGAUUUUCAGGUGGACUUGCCCUAGUGGAGAUGCACCUUCCAGGAGCAGGGGGACAAUGCUUGGUGUAAGCUGCUCUGGCCUCCACUUGGUAGUUCUGUUUUGCUCACUGAAGUUGGUCAGUGCUGAUGGAUGGGCUGAAAAUGAUGUCACCCCUCUCUCUUGUCCCUGCAGUGGGAAGAUCGUGCCUACCACUCUCUAAGCCCUCACAGAAGAGCAAACAAUCACCUCUCUAGUGUCCCUGGCUUUCAUCAGAUCCCCACCUUCACCCUGCCUGUAUCUGAGCUGUCUGCCUGCCAGCCAGGUGGCACAGCAGUUCUGUGUUUUAUCUCAGGCACAAGGCUAGGUUUCAAAAUUCCAAAUUUUAGAGAUCUGUGCAGGGCAUCCACACUGGUCUCUGGGGGAGGAUCUCACAGUGCUAUGGCCAAUCCCUGCUUAUCCCAGAAAUCAGUUGUGCAACAAUGCAGGUUCAGAGUUAUGGUAAAGUGCAACAGAAAGCUGGCACCAAGGCAUGCUGCCCUCAACCAGUGUCCCAUUCUUAUGUUAGUGAAUGGGUUAGCUCAAUGGUGUCUGUUGGGUCUUUUGUCCCUGGGAGAGGCCAUGCCCUCUCCCAAAUGCACUCCAAGCAGGAAAACUGCUUCUCCCUGUGCAUUUCAUGGGAAGCUCAGAACAUGUUGCUGGCUCCAGGGUCUCUGCCCUCCUUCCCCACUGGAGUACUGCUAAAGCCCACUAAGCCCAACCCUGGUGAUGGUGCAGACCUCCAAAACUUCAGAAUCUACACUGUUAUUUAUAAAAACUUGUGGUAUUCAGUCCCUCUCCUUUUCCCAGUCAGUGGUUUUGGGGAAGAGUUUUUCUUGUGCAAUUCCCCUGUGUACUUUCACUUUUUCUCUCUCACUCCUCUCUGUGAUCAGAUCUCCCUUUCCUCCACAGAACCCACAGCUCUUCUCUCCCCUAAAUCAACUCUCUGCAGCUCCUACCUUCCACUAUGUGGCAGUUUUUUCACCUCUACUUGUGCAUUUUUCUUCUCUUGGUCCUCAGAUCAAUUGGGAGUUCAAACUGAUUUGUUUUUCAUCUAGCUGUGUUUGAGGACCGAAGCAAGCCUAGGGUCUCCCACUCCUCUGCCAUCGUAACUCCUUUUUAAGUAGAGAACCAAAACACCCACAGAUAUUUUGAGGAAAGAAAGAGAAUACUAUGAAUAAGAUUUCAUAUUCCUAGGGCUCUUGGGAGGUUGGCCAGGAUUCAAACACUGACUUGACUCUUAACAAUUAUAUGUACUGUCUUCCAUUUUAAUUAUUGAGUGCUAACUGUUAUAGGUAUUGUGAGCACUCUAUGUUUCUUUUUCUUGAGUAUGUACCUAGGAAGUGCUGGCUUAUAUGACCACUUUACAUUUCCACCAGCAAUGUAUGAAGGUUCUUUCUAACCUCUCCACAUUCUUGCUACCACCUUUUCUUUUUUUUUAUUGAGAUAUAAUUGACAUAUGCUAUUACAUUGUUUUCAGAUGUACAACAUAAUGAUUCAUUGUAUACAUUGCAAAAUGAUCACCAAAUAAGUCCAAUUAACGUCUGUCAUCCGUACACAGUUACAAAGAUUUUUGCUCUUGUGAUAUGAAGAUCUAUUCUCAGAAGAUAUGCAAUGCAGUAUUAUUAAUUAUAGUCACCAUGCUGUACAUUACAUCCUGAGGGCUUGUUUAUUUUAUAACUAAAAUUUGUACCUUUUACCCACCACUUUCACCCCUUUUGUCUACCCGCCCAACACUCACCUCUGACAACCACCUAUCUGUUCUCUGUAUAACACUUGUUUUUAAUCUUUUAUUAUAGCCAUCCUUGUGAUAUUAACUUGUGUUUUACAUAAUGACUAAAGAUAUCAAGCAUUUUUUCAUGUGUUUAUUAGUCAUUUUGUAUAUCUUCUUUAGAGAAAUGUCUAUUCAGAUUUUUUGACAUAUUUAAGACUGGGUUAUCUUUUUAUUAUAGAGUUUAAAAAGUUCUUUAUAGUCUAGAUUUAAGUCCCUUAUGAGAUACGUGAAUCACAAAUAUUUUCUCCCAUUCUGGGGGUUGUCUUUUACUUCAUUGAUAAUAUAUCGCUUGCAGCACAAGUUUUAAUUUUGAUGAUGUCCAGUUUAUUUUUUCUUUUUUUUCCUAUGUUUUGGUGUCAUGUCUGUGAAACAAUUGCCAAAUCUAAAUUUAUGAAGAUUUACCCUCUAUUUUCUUCUGUUUUAUAGUUUGGCUCUUACAUUUAGAUCUAUAAUCCAUUUUUAAUUUUUGUAUUAAGGUUACACAGGGAGUUUAUUUUUGUGUAUGGUGUGAGGUGGGAGUCAAACUUCAUUCUUUUGCUUGUGGAUAUCUGUUGUUCUAGCACUAUUUGUUGAAAAGAUUAUUUUAGCCCAUGGGCUUAUCUUGAUAUCCUUGUGAAAAAUCAAUUUGCCACAAAUAUACAGGUCUAUUUUUGAAGUUUCAGUGCUAAUAGAUUAAUCUGUAUGUCUGUCUUUCUGCCAGUACCACACUGUCUUAAUUACUGUAGAUUUGUAGUAAGUUUUAUAACUGGGAAGUGUGAAUUUUUCAACUCUGCUCAGCACUUUCAAGAUUGUUUUGGCUAUUCUGGAUUCUUUUUCCAUGUGAAUUUUAGGAUCAGCUUGGCAAUUUAUGCAAAGAAGUUGGCUGGGAUUCUGAUAGGGAUUGCACCGAAUCUGUGGUAAAAUUGGUGUUUUUUGAUAUUUCUACUAUUUUGUCUUACCAAUGACAUCUUCAUAUUAACUUGCAUUUGGCAGAUGCAUAAAUUUGUUCUUGGAACAAUUUUGGAGCAUGAUUAUUGGUUAACCUAACAGUGAGGGGCCAGUAUGUAGCUAGUAGUCUUCUGUAGUAGAAAGACAGAGGAAACAGCACAUCCAAAGCCUUAUAUUGGGGAUGAUGAUAAUUAGGUUGGUUCAAGACAUAUUCAAUAGGUUGAAUUCAUAGGACCUGGUAAUUGAUGAUAUAUGAGAGAUGAAACAGAGAAACAUAUUUAAAAAAUUAUUCCCAAGUUUCUUUGAGCAACCAAGAUGGGAAUGCUGAAGAAUUUGUUCCUUCAACUUAGCCAUUUCUCUGCCUAGAUCUGUGGAUUUCUUACCUCUCUAAGUUAUUGUUUCCAUAGUCAAAGAGGCAGGACAAGGCCAGGAUUUAGAUUGUAGGCAUCUACACAAAAAUGGUGAAAUUGGGAGGAUUGAGAGAUACAUAGGUACAUUGCUACAUUGCUACAUUGUUACAAUGGAUAAAGCUAAGGGUUAAUUUGUAUAGAGAUAAUCAUAGUGUGACUUUAUUCACUUAACAUUUGUUAAGUAGAGCUCUGGGGUGUCAGAUAGUAAGCCAAAGUUCAACAAAAUACUUGAAAAGAAAGUGAAAUAGAGAUGUAUAUUACUCACAGGUCCUGAAGGAGGUACUCCAAAUGUCUAGAGGGGCCAUUCAGGGAGUUCAAGACAGGGCGCAGGUAGAGAAAGAGUAAUACAGGUCCUGGGAACAUACCUUUAUUAGGGUCCUUGGGUGGAGUGCUAUGGGGUUCCCAGGCUAAAUUCAGAUUGGUCAACUCAAACCAGAAAAUGUGGAUUUUGGUAAAAUUCUGGGGGUCUUAUCUGAAGGGCACACAAGAUGAAGGUCCUGGGAGGUGGGGGAGAAUGUUUAUUAUGAGGGUGGUUGAGGGAGUCAUAUCAGGAACUUAUAUUUACUUGUAAUUCUGAAGGCUGUUAACUAAGGCAAGAGUUCAAGGGAGGGGCUAGUGUCAGCUUGAGGCUGGUUGCUGAGGCAGCAAUAUUAGGGACUAGUUUAGCUAAACUCUCAAUACCAAGCCUUGAAUGUGUAUCUGAGGAAAUUUGAGCGUACACCUAAGGAGAUCAUACUACGCAGAUCCUAUAUCUUCACUCACAGUACUGAUGUAUCACCUGAGGUGUCUGAAUAAGCAGAGGCUAGGUUGUAGUGUAUGAAAUCUGGUGUUCAACUGACCACAUGUGUGAAGGACUUUAUUUUGGGAACCAGAGUCCUGUUCUAGAACCAAGAAAGAGGAAUAAAGUACAUCACACACCUGGAAUCUGAAGUUCAUCAAAAUCAGUCUUUAACAAAUUAAAGUAAGAAUCAUCUGCAAAACAUGUAAUGCAAGUUUGGGGGCAUCUCAAUAGAUCAACAAGAAGCUCAAAUGAUUCUGCCAGAAAUGGAAUAUUGAUUAUACUUUGAAAAACACUGAUGAAAUUAUCUAAAAGAUUAAUUUAAUGAUGAAUCAGCAGGCUACUAGGAGAUACAUCCUUUCUUUAGGUCUAUAACAGAUCUUAAUAUUUUAUGAAAGGAGAUUGGGGUAAUCUACCAAGAAUAGAGCCAUAUCAGAUAGAUCUUUGGACAGUCUGUGUGAUCAUUCUUUAAAUAAGUGGUUCUAAUAUGGUCGGGAUUGGAGGGAGGGCUGGAAAUUUUGCCCCUCAGAAUAUUUGGCCUUUUUGUCUGGAGGAAUUUUGAUUGCCGCAACUGGGGGCAAUACUACAAGCAUUAAAUGAAUAGAGGACAAGGCUGCUGCUAAACAUACAAUAUGCAAGAUAGUCCCCACAACAAAGAAUUGUCUAGUUCGAAGUGUCAAUCUUGCUGCUGUUGAGAAAACCUGCUCUAAAUUCUGGACUAUCAUAAGAUGUUGGAAUAAAGAGAAGAACAAUAGCUAGCAAGAUUUAAGAGACAUAGCUAAGGUAGUUCUAAUUUAUUUUCUUUAGGAGUUGCUACCAUUAGCAAUAUCCACACAACCACCAAAAGAAAUACUAAGCUUAUGGGAAGAGAAGGAUUAAAGGGAAGGGUAUACAAAGACAUAAGAAAGCCCCAGGAACUCUUCAUACCUCUGUUCCAUGAAGACUGAUUUAUGAUGAUGGUUAUUUGCAUGGUCUUGGAGGUCCUUGUAAAAGUGACCAGUGAGAAGAGCUUGUAUUUGUAUAGCAGUUCAGUUUACAAAAUACUUGUACAUUCCUUAGCUUGUUCUUUGGCUUGGGAGGUAAGCAGCAUGGCUUCUGGAACAAAUUACCACUCAGUGACUUAGAACAAUAGAAACUAUUUCCCUAAUAGUAUAGGGAACCAGAAAUCCGAAAUCAUUGGUUCAGCAGGGCCAUAAUCCCUCCAAAGGCUGAAGGGGAGAAUAUUUGUUUUUUCCAGCUUUCUGGUGGUUGUUGGCAUUUCUUGGCUGUGGUAGCUCUAUCUCUCUCUCUGCUCUGUUUUCCCAUCACUUUUCUUCUGUGUAUAUGUCUCAGAACCCCCUCUGCCUUUCUCAUUCAGGCAUACAUGUAAUUGCAUUUUGGUUCCACUCAGAUAACCCUGGAUAAGAUUCUCCUCUCAAGAUCCUUAACUUAAUCACAUCUUUUGCCACAUAAGGUGAUAGUCACAGGUCUUAGGGAUUAGGAUGUGAACAUAUUCUUCUGGAAUCUCUACCAUUCAGCCCACUGUGCAGGGUAAUGAUGACCCUCAUUUUGCAUUAUUUUACUAGGUUACAUGGCUAAUGAAUUGUGGAAUUUGGCCUUUGAGGCCAAAUCCUAGUCCCAUUGUUUAACAAUAUACAUACAUUUAUUGUUUAACAAUAAAUCAUAACAAGAAAUAAGAGAAGAAAAAAAGCUAAGGCAGAAAACAAGAAUAGAGGAGAAAUAGGGAAGUAGAAAACAAAGUUAAUUUGCUGACUCAAGAUUUGGGAGAGUAGCAAAACUAAAUACUGCUGUGGAAAAAAAAAGGCUAAUAGAUGAACCCAGGAGCAAUGGUUAGUUAACGUAUAAUUGAAUUACUACCUUCUGGGGUUUUUCUGUCACCACACCUCCCAUGGUUCAGUGUUCUAGGCCUGGGAUUAUCUACAGAGGAGAUAAUGUCAUUUACUUAAAAUAGUUGGCACAGUGCCUUACAAAUAAUAGCAUUUCAUCAUUGCAAGACACCAUAAUUAUCAGCCACAGCUGCCAGUUAACAUUUUUGUGUUUAAGUUCUAUAACAACAAUUGAUUUGAUGUUUUUAUAAACCUUGCAAAUCAUUACUUGCCAGGCAACUAACACUCUCAGGCAAGUGGUAAACUAUGCAACUUUCAUUUUUUCUGCUUCUUGUCCAGAGUUAUCUUAUUGAGAGAGACUACUGUUUUUAAACUACAGCUUUUCUCAAUUUUGGCUACACACUAGAAUAACCUGGGGAACUUUAAAAACCCCAUGAUGUUCCUGCACACCCCAGGCUACUUAAAGACCAUCCUCUAGGGAUGGGACCUGAGAGAAGGGGUACUCAAACUUUUUGGCUUUAUUUUUUAAUUUUCACAUUCACAUUUUAAAAUUAGUAUAUAGAAUUUUAUACUAUACUUUAAACUAGAGUUUAAAGAGUUGUAAAGUAUUAAAUUUCUAGCAUAUCAUAAAUAUUGAUUUAAAAAGAUAAGUCAUUUCUUUAAAUGGAUAAAAUGGGGGGUAAAAACCAUAGGGUAACAUUAUAAUUUCAUUUCACUGGGAAAUUUCCCAUUAUUUCCAUUCCACACCCUCCAUAGAAUUUUAUCCUACUAAUGUAAUAUAUUCUCAUCCUUAAAUGUCUUUUGUUUAUUACCUUAUCAUAAUUCUGUAGAGCAAAAAUAUGGAUAUAAAUUUGGAUUGAGCUUUUAAAUUUCCUGUAUCCACAGACUUUAAGUACUUAGAAUUUCUGGAUCGUGGGAUCAUUAUAAUUACUAUUAGAAUAUAAUUAAUAAAUGCAACAAUAUAUUAAGGAUAAACUGAAUUAUAUAUAUAUGUAUAUAUUAUAUAUACUUCUUAUGUUAAAAAGUAUAUAUAUACCUUUUUUUUGAACCACAUGAUUUGUUUUGAUAAAACAAACACUGAACAAGUAAUCUCAUGGGUAUAGGCAGUCUUUGCAGUUAUUCCAUGUUAGUGAAGCUUAAAAGGCAAAUAUUUUCUUUUUAAAAUUUUUAUUAAAUUUUAAUUUUAAUUCCUAUAUAGUUAACACCAUUUCAGAUGUACAAAAUAGUGAUUCAACAAUUCCAUACAUUAGUGCUCAUCAUGAUAAGCACACUCCUUAAUCCCUAUCGCCUAUUUCACCCAUCUCUCCCACCUACCUCCCCUCUGGUAACCAUCAGUUUGUUCUCUAUAGUUAAUAGUCUAUUUCUUGAUUUGUCUCUCCUUUUCUUUUUCUUUGCUUAUUUGUUUUUUUUUCCUUAAAUUCCACAUAUGAAUGAAAUCAUAUGGUGUUUAUCUUUCUCUCACUGACUUACUUUACUUAGCAUUAUACUUUAUAGCUUCAUCCAUGUUGCAAAUGGCAAGAUUUCAUUCUUUUUUGUGGCUUAAUAAUAUUCCAUUGGUAAAUGUGUUUGUGUGUGUGUGUGUGUGUGUGUGUGUGUGUACACACAUGCCACAUCUUCUUUAUCCAUUCAUCCAUUGAUGGACGCUUGGGUAGCUUUCAUAUUUUGGCUAUUAUAAGUAAUGUUGCUAUAAAUAUAGGGAUGCACGUAUCCCUUUAAGUUAAUGUUCUUUUAUUUUUUGGGUAAAUACCCAGUGGCAUGAUUGCUAGAUCAUAGGGUAGUUCUAGUUUUAACUUUUUGAGGAAUCUCCAUACUGUUUUCCAUAGUGGCUGCACCAAUUUGCGUUCCCACCAACAUGCAUGAGGGUUCCUUUUUUCUCCACAUCCUCGCCAACACCUGUUGUUUCUUGUAUUGUUGAUUUUAGCAAUUCUGACAGGUGUGAGGUGAUAUCUCAUUGUAGUUUUGAUUUGCAUUUCCCUGAUAUUCAGCAUUUUUUUCAUCAGUCUGUUGGCCAUGUGGAUGUCUUUUUGGAGAAAUGUCUGUUCAUGCUUCUGCCCAUUUUUAAAUUGUUUUAUGUGUUUUUUGGGUGUGCAGUUGUGGAAGUUCCUUACAUAUCUUGGGUACUAACCCUUUAUUGGAUAUAUCAUUUGCAAAUACUUUCUCCAUUCAGUAGAUUGUCUUUUUUUAAUAAAUUUUUUUAAUGUUUAUUUUAUUAAUGAGAGACAGAGAGACAGAGCAUGAGCAGGGGAGUGGCAGAGAGAGAGGGAGACACAGAAUCUGAAGCAGGGUCCAGGCUCUGAGCUGUCACACAAAGCCUGAUGCAGGGCUCGAACUCACGAGCCACGAGAUCAUGACCUGAGCCAAAGUUGGAUGCUUAACCAACUGAGCCACCCAGGCGCCCCUCAGUAGAUUGUCUUUGAGUUUUGUUGAUUGUUUCCUUUGCUGUGCAGAAGCUUUUUAUUUGGAUGUAGUCCCAAUAGUUUAUUUUUGCUUUUUUUCCCCUUGCCUCAGGAGAUGUAUCUAGAAAAAUAUUGCUACAACUAAUGUUACAAAUAUUAUUGCCUGUGCUCUCUUCACAAAUAUUUAUGGUUUCAGGACAUUUAGGUCUCUAAUCCAUUUGGAAUUUAUUUUUGUGUAAGGUGUGAGAAAGUGCUCCAGUUUCAUUCUUUUGCAUAUAACUUUACAGUUUUCCCAACACUAUUGGUUGAAGAGACUUUUUCCCAUUUCAUAUUCUUUCCUCCUUUGUCAAAGAUUAAUUGAUCAUGUGACUGUAGAUUUAUUUCUGGACUUUCUAUUCUAUUCCAUUCAUCUAUGUGUCUAUUUUGAUACCAGUGCCAUAAUGUUUUAAUUACUACAGCUCUGUAGUAUAACUUGAAGUCUGGAAUUGUGAUGCCUCCAGAUUUGCUUUUCUUUUUCAGGAUUGAUUUGGCUAUUUGGGGUCUUGUGGUUCCAUACAAAUUUUAGGGUUGUUUUUCUAGUUUUGUGAAAGCUGCUAUUGAUAUUUUGAUAAGGAUUGCAUUAAAUGUGUAGAUUGCUUUGGGUAGUAUAGAUAUUUUAACAAUAUUUGUUCUUCCAAUCCAGGAGUAUGGAAUGUGUUUCCAUUUCUUUGUGUCAUCUUCCAUUUCUUUUAUCAAUGCUUUAUAGUUUUCGGGGUAUAGGUCUUUCAUCUCUUUGGUUGAGUAUAUUCCUAGGUACUUUACAUUUUUGGUGCAAUUAUAAGUGAUUUUUUUCUUUUCUUAAAAAAAUUUAAUGUUUAUUUAUUUUGAGAGAGAGAGAGAGAGAACACGAGAAAGGGAGGGAUAGAGAGAGAGGGAGACACAGAAUCAGAAGCAGGCUUCAGGCUCUGAGCUGUUAGCACAGAGCCCAAUGUGGGGCUUGAACCCAUGGACUGUGAGAUCAUGACCUGGGCUGAAGUCAGAUGCUUAACGGACUGAGCCACCCAGGUGUCCCUAAAUGGGAUUGUUUUCUUAAUUUCUCUUUCUGCUGCUUCAUUAUUAGUACAUAGAAAUCAACUGAUCUCUGUAAAGAUUUUGUAUUCCUGUGACUUUACUGAAUUCAUGAUCAGUUCUAGCAGUUUUGGGGGUUUUGUUUUGUUUUGUUUGUUUUUUGUUUGGUAGAGUCUUUCAGGUUUUCUAUAUAGUAUCAUGUCAUCUGCCAAUAGUGAAAGUUUUACUUCUUCCUUACCAAUUUGGAUGCCUUUUAUUUCUUUUUGUUGUCUGGUUGCUGUGGCUAAGACUUCCAGUGCUAUCUUGAAUAAAAGUAGUGAGAGUGGACAUCCUUAUCUUUUCCUGAACUUACAGGAAAGCUCUCAGUUUUGUUUUUGUUUUUUCUUUUGAGUAUGAUGUUUGCCAUAGGUUUUUCAUAUAUACGCUUUAAUAUGUUGAGUUAUGUUGCCUCUAAACCUACUUUGUUGAGGGUUUUUAUCAUGAAUGGAUGUCGUACUUUUCAAAUGCUUUUUCUGCAUCUAUUGAAAUGAUCAUAUGGCUUUAUCAUUUCUUUAAUGGAUGAAAUGUAUUAUGUUGAUUGAUUUGCAAAUAUUUAGCCACUCUUGCAUGCUGGGAAUAAAUCCCACUUGACUGUGGUGAAUGAUUUUUAAUAUAUUGUUGGAUUUGUUUUGCUAGUAUUUUGUUGAAGAUUUCCACAUCUGUGUUAGUCAGAUACUGGUCUGUAGUUCUCUUCUUUUAUGGCAUCUUUACUGGUUUGGUUAUCAGGGUGAUGCUGGUCUGAUAGAAUGAAUUUGGAAGGCUUCCUUCCUUUACUGUUUUUUGGAAUAGUUUGAGAAAAAUAGGUUCUAUUCUUAAAAUCUUUGGUAGAAUUUACCUGUGAAGCAGUCUGGUCCUAGACUUUUUUUGUUGGGAGUUUUUUGAUUACUGAUUGAAUUUCCUUGCUAGUAAUCAGUCUGUUCAAAUUUUCUAUUUCUUCCUCCUUCAGUUUUGUUAGGUUAUAUGUUUCUAGGAAUUUAUCCAUUUCUUCUAGGUUGUCCAGUUUGUUGACAUACAGCUUUUCAUAAUAUUUUGUUACAAUUGUUUGUAUUUCUGUAGUGUUGGUUGUUAUUUCUCCUCUUUCAUUUGUGGUUAUGUUUGAAUCUUUUCUCUCUUUUCUUUCUUUCAUGAGUCUAACUAGAGGUUUGUCAAUUUUGUUGAUAUUUGCAAGGAAACAUCUCCUGGUUUCAUUGAUCUGUAUUUUUGUUUUUUUAGUUUCUAUAUCAUUUAUCUCUGCACUAAUCUUCAUUUCUUUCCAUCUGCUAGUUUUGGGUUUUGUUUGUUCUUUUUCUAGCUCCUUUAGGUGUAGAGUUAGGUUGUUUAUUGGAGAUUUUUCUUGCUUCUUGAGGUACGCCUGUAUUGCCAUAAGCUUCUCUUUUAGAAUUGCUUUUCCUGCAUCCCAAAGGUUUUGGAUCCUUGUGUUUUCAUUUUCAUUUGUUUCCAUGUACUUUUUAUUUCUUCUUUGAUUUCCUGGCUGACCUAGUCAUUACUUAGUAGUAUGUUACUUAAACUCCAUGUGUUUGUGGUCUUUCCAGAUUUUUUUUUUUUAUGGUGGGUGAUUUCUAAUUUUAUAGCAUUGUGGUCAGAAAAGAUGCAUGGCAUGACUUCAAUCUCUUUGAGUUUGUUGAGGCUUGUUUUGUGCCCUAAUAUGUGAGAUAUUGUGGAGAAUGUUCCAUAUGCACUUGAAGAGAAUUUGUAUUCAGCUGUCUUAGCAUGGGAUGUUCUGAAUAUAUCUGUUAAAUCCAUCUGGUCGAGUGUGUUAUUCAAAGCCACUCUUUCCUUGUUCCAUUUCUAUUUGGAUCAUCUUUUCAUUUAUGUAAGUGGCCUGUUAAAGUCCCUAUUAUUAUUGAAUUGCUAUCAAUUAGUCCUUUAUGUUUGUUAUUAACGGUUUCAUGUAUUUAGAUGUUCCAUAUUGGUUCCAUAAAUAUUUACAGUUGUUAUAGCUUCCUGUUGGAUUGUCCCUUUGAUUAUUAGUGUCCUUCUUUGUCUCUUGUUACAGUCUUUUUUUUUUUUUUUUUAAAGUCUAUUUUAUCCGAUAUAAGUUUUCCUAUCUUGGCUUUCUUUUGAUAUCCAUUUGCAUGAUAAAUGUUUGUACAUCCCUUCACUUCCAGUUUGUGGGUGUCUUUUGGUCUGAAAUGAGUCUCUUGUAGGCAGCAGAUAGAUGGAUUUUUUUUAAAAUCUAUACUGUCAUCCUAUUUUUUUUUUAUUGGAUUGUUGAGUCCAUUUACAUUCAAAGUAAUUACUGAUAGAUAUGUAUUUCUUGCCAUUUUGUUACUUGUUUUGUUUCCAUAGUUUGUCUUUGAUCUUUCUUCAUGGUUUGCUGGUUUUCUUUGGUGAUAUACUUGGAUUCCUUUUUCUUUAUUCUUUGCAUAUCUAUUACUGGUUUUUGAUUUGUGGUUAUCAAUAGGGUUGUAUGUAACAUUUUUUGCAUAUCUCAGUCUAUAUUAAGUUGAUGGUUGCUUAAGUUUGAACCCAUUAUUUACUCCUCUCCUCCCUUCAUUUUAGUAUAUGUUGUCAUAUUUUACAUUCUUGUAUUUUGUGUAUCUUUUGGCUGAUUUUUACAGAUAUAUUUAUUUUUUAUACUCUCAUUUAUGGUCUUUCCUUUUCACUCAUAGAAUCCCCUUUACAUUUCUUGUGAGUCUGGUUUAGUGGUCAUGAAUUCCUUUAGUUUUGUUUAUCCAACAACUUCUCUAUCUCUCCUUCUAUUCUGAAUGAUAGCCUUGCUGGAUAGAGUAUUCUUGGCUGCAGAUUUUCCCUCUCACCACUUUGAAUAUAUCAUGCCACUUCCUUCUGGCCUGUAAAAUUCCUGUUGAAAAAUCCACUGAUAGCCUUAUGGGGUUUCCCUGGUAUGUGACCGUUUUCUUUUGCUGCUUUUAAAUAUUUUUCUUUGUCACUACUUUUUGGCAUUUUAAUUAUGUAUCUUGGUGUGGAUCUCCUUGGUUUGAUUUUGGGGGGGAAUCUCUGUGCCUCCUGGAUCUUACUAUCUAUUUACUUCCCAUAUUAGGGAAGUUUUCAGCUAUUAUGUCUUCAAACAUAUUUUCUGCCAUUUUUUCACUCUGUUCUUUUUCAAGGAUCCUUAUAAUGCAAAAUCAUUACAAUUGAUGGAGUCACUGAAUUCCCUAAGGCUAUUCUUGUUUUGCAUAAUUCUUUUUUCCCCCAUUUGCUCAGCUUGAUUAAUUUCCAUUACCCUGUUUCCAGAUCACUAAUUCGUUCCUCUGCUUCCUCUAGCCUGCUGUGUAUUCCAUCAAGUGUAUUUUUAAUUUAAUUUAUUGUGUUCUUCAAUUCUGAUAUUUUUUUUCUCUCUCUUUGUUAAGGAUUUUACUGAUGUCCUCCCCUAUUUUCUCAAGUCCAUAAGAGGCAAGGUUGACAGUUACCAAAAUCCACAUUUUUUGAAGACCGGAGGAAGGAAAGAGUUGAAAUGGUACAAAAUGAACAACAAAUUUGAGCACAGAUAUAAUUCUGCUUAGACCCACCUUUCCCCUGGAGGCUGUAUUUCUUGAAACCUGAAAACAUAAACCAAGCCAUCGCAUGCUGUGAGUUCAGAGGAUGAUGAAACCUUGAAUGGCUGGAGUGGAUGUCACACUUGUUAGGUGGCUGCUAUAAUGUGAUGAGCACUGUGUAAGCAUGGUAUCUCAUUGACUACUCACAGAAGGCUCCAUCAGAGGCACAGGCCCUACUGUUUGCAAAUGGAUAGCAAGCAAAUAUCUCAUGACGAAUCAAGAGGAGCAAGAAGAAAGAAACAUUUCUCCUGGGAAAUGACUUACAUGUCCAGUCAUGCCAUUUAGUCCCACCUUCAGGACCCACCCAACUCCAGGCUUCUGGGUCAAUUCUCUUGGUCAAGAAAUAAGAGCUCAGAAGGAUGAUGGUAUAACAUUGGAGAAAGGGUGUUGGAACCUCACUCACCUGUAUUUGCCUUCCUGUACAACUUGAGCAGAAGUUGGAAAGUGGAGGAUGAAAUGAGGACUGGAACAAGCAAACUUUCUCACAGUGACAUAGAAUUGGAAAAAGCACUCAGAAAGGCUUCGUAUCAACAUCUUAAUUUUUAUUGGGGAAACUAGAUUUUACAGAUGGGGAAAUGUUAAGUAUUUAAAUGUUUAUUGAGCAUCUGGUAUAUACUAGAUACUGUGCUAAGCAUUGAAGGUACAGCAGAAAACAAUGUAGUUGAGUCCCUUCCUUCUGCAAUUUAGAGCCCCAGAGAAGUGAAAUGACAAAACAAACCCUGAACCAGAAUCCAUAUCUCUUAGGUCCCAAUUGAUUAUCUUUCUUACAUUUUCCAUCUAAUAUGCUUUAGGAACCUAAGAUUUUCUUUAUGAUUUUGGGCAACUCACUAAACAAGUAGGCUUCAGUUUUAUGAAUACAUAAAAAGAAACUUGUAUGUUUCCUUGUUCACUUAUUUAUUUACCAAAUAUUUACUGAGAACUCUCUGUAUCCCAGGCAUAAAGCCCACUGAAUUCACAGAAUAGAACCUUUUUUACUUAGAGCAAAUUUACAUAUGUCAGCAAUGCUUUCCAAAUAGUAAUGAACAGGUAGCUGGAAAUUCCAUGGUUAGCUGUAUUUCCUUUAAUAGGAUUCAAAGUUGGCUUACUCUCCCAGGUACCCAAAUCCCAACCUGGGUUUCUUCUCCCCUUUUUCCUUCCCUCUCUCUUUUUUCUAACCAUCUGCCAGUUUCCCCUUCCUUCCUUCCUUCCUUCCUUCCUUCUUCUUUUUAUCCAUCAUAUUUCCAUCUGAAGUAUAAACAUUAACACCAGUGAAUUGAUUUACAGUAAGAGAUUUCAAAGUCAUAAAGCCAAAUACUUUCACUGGCGCAGUUAGUAUAUUCUUGCUUUGUAGCUGCUGUACAUUGUAACUUUUAUUUAUUGUUCCUAAAUAAAAACUUUUCCUGUUUCAAGAUUGUAUUUAACAUAUGGGACAAGAAUACUGGAUUAUAUUAUAUUCACCACUGUAUCAGGAAAAUGUGUUACUGGCAUUAACCCCCAAAUUGGCAAGGGCAAGAAAGAUAAAAAGGGAAAAUGCAAGAAUGCAUGACUGAUUUUUGACAAGGCCAGAUAAAAAGGAAGAAAAAAGCACUGGUCUUUAUCAAGGAAAAAAAAGUACUGGUCCUUAUCAGGGCAAAUAGUGUUAUCUCCCAACGUACACAAGAAUUUCCAAUAUUAACUAACCUGUAUCCUUCAAAAUACAUUUUCUCAUAGCUGAAGAAUCACAUUCAUGUUGGUAGCUGAUUUAUAAGGGCAAGAAUGUGGUUUCUUGGAUUAUUGCCUCAUUAGA